rnacentral:rRNA from 1 species
UACGUAGGGGGCAAGCGUUACUCGGAUUCACUGGGCGUAAAGCGCGUGUAGGCGGCUGGUCAAGCGUGGUGUGAAAUCUCCGGGCUCAACCCGGAAACUGCACCGCGAACUGGCCUGGCUGGAGUGCAGGAGAGGGAAGGGGAAUUCCCGGUGUAGCGGUGAAAUGCGUAGAGAUCGGGAGGAACACCAGUGGCGAAGGCGGCCAUCUGGAUCAACACUGACGCUGAGGCACGAAAGCGUGGGGAGCAAACAGG